UACAGAGGGUGCGAGCGUUGUCCGGAAUCACUGGGCGUAAAGGGCGCGUAGGCGGUCUCUUAAGCGUGGUGGUGAAAGCCCCGGGGCUCAACUCCGGGUCGGCCGUGCGAACUGGGGGACUGGAGCUUGUCAGAGGCAGGCGGAAUUCCGGGUGUAGCGGUGGAAUGCGUAGAGAUCCGGAAGAACACCGGUGGCGAAGGCGGCCUGCUGGGACAGUGCUGACGCUGAGGCCGCGACAGCGUGGGGAGCAAACAGG
rnacentral:rRNA from 1 species